rnacentral:rRNA from 1 species
AUACGUAGGAUGCAAGCGUUGUCCGGAAUUACUGGGCGUAAAGGGUCCGUAGGCGGUUUGUUAAGUCUUCUGUGAAAGUUCAGGGCUCAACCCUGAAAUGUCGGGGGAUACUGGCAAACUCGAGACUGUCAGAGGCAAGUGGAAUUCCCGGUGUAGUGGUGAAAUGCGUAGAUAUCGGGAGGAACACCAGUGGCGAAAGCGGCUUGCUGGGACAGUGCUGACGCUGAGGGACGAAAGCGUGGGUAGCAAACCGGAUUAGAAACCCCAGUAGUCC